UGCCAUGGAACAUGAAGAACAUUAUUCCAUGUAAUACAGUUCCGUUAUAAUGGACGUAAAUAUCUGCUGAAGCUGAUUGACACACCCACAAAUCAUAAAAUGUGAUGAGGGCAUCGCUGGUUGGAUUUCUUGCCCCCAGUGUCAGCCAUAUUGUUGUGGUUCUGGAGUCACAUGUCAGCCAGACCAGCCUGGAAGGUGGCAGGUGAAGGAGCAGCUCUCCAGCGGCAGCAAUGCGAGGACAGGCCGGACACAUCUCCCCUCCUAACCCAGUGUCUCCCGGCAAGUGAGAGCAGAUCCUAGGCUGAAUCUCCUGUACUGGACUUGCAGGGUGAGCCGAGGCUCCAGUUAUCAACUGAAGGAGUGGUAGUGUCAGCUAAAGUGAUGACGGACAACCGCGAAAACCAAUGACCAGUGACAGCGUCUUAAAUAGUGUUGGAUGGUUAACAGGAAAGACAGAACUCAAGCAUUCCCAGACCCAUGGUUCCAGCUGGGAUGUGACAAUUGCAAUAGUAGCAGUGGAGGAGGCUGUAACCAAGACCCCAGAGCCCAUUACAGAGACUACUGCCAAUGCCAAGCAGCAACUGGAGGAGCAGUGAAGGAGGAACAAGAAGAGAGAAAGAUGAGCUCUUUUAAAGUAAAAUCUUGCAUUAUAUUCAGUGUUUCAAGAUGGUGCCACAGUGUGGCGACACUUGGUGUAUAACACGUGAAAAACAUUUUUUACUGUACGUUUUGCACACGUGACAAUAAAUCUAAAUC